rnacentral:rRNA from 1 species
GACGAACGCUGGCGGCGUGCUUAACACAUGCAAGUCGAACGCUGAAGCUCAGCUUUUGUUGGGUGGAUGAGUGGCGAACGGGUGAGUAACACGUGAGUAACCUGCCCCCUUCUUUGGGAUAACGCCCGGAAACGGGUGCUAAUACUGGAUAUUCACUGGUCUUCGCAUGGGGGUUGGUGGAAAGGGUUUUUCUGGUGGGGGAUGGGCUCGCGGCCUAUCAGCUUGUUGGUGGGGUGAUGGCCUACCAAGGCUUUGACGGGUAGCCGGCCUGAGAGGGUGACCGGUCACAUUGGGACUGAGAUACGGCCCAGACUCCCACGGGAGGCAGAAGUGGGGAAUAUUGCACAAUGGGCGCAAGCCUGAUGCAGCGACGCCGCGUGAGGGAUGGAGGCCUUCGGGUUGUGAACCUCUUUCGCUCAUGGUCAAGCCGCAACAAUGGUUGUGGUGAGGGUAGUGGGUAAAGAAGCGCCGGCUAACUACGUG